GAUGAACGCUAGCGGCAGGCCUAAUACAUGCAAGUCGAACGGCCCCGACACUUCGGUGUCGGGGUAGUGGCGCACGGGUGCGUAACGCGUACACAACAUACCCUUUACAGGGGGAUAGCGGCGGGAAACUGCCAGUAAUACCCCAUGUCCUUGCGAGGUGGCAUCAUUUGCAAAGAAAGUUCAAGCGGUAAAGGAUUGGUGUGCGUCCGAUUAGCUAGUUGGUAGGGUAACGGCUUACCAAGGCUACGAUCUGUAACCGGUCUAAGAGGACGGUCGGUCACACUGACACUGAAUAACGGGUCAGACUCCUACGGGAGGCAGCAGUCGGGAAUUUUGGGCAAUGGGCGAAAGCCUGACCCAGCAACGCCGCGUGAGGAUGAAGUAUUUCGGUACGUAAACUUCGAAAGAAUAGGAAGAAUUAAUGACGGUACUAUUUAUAAGGUCCGGCUAACUACGUG
rnacentral:rRNA from 1 species